rnacentral:rRNA from 1 species
AUUGAACGCUGGCGGCAGGCCUAACACAUGCCAGUCGAGCGGAUGAAGGGAGCUUGCUCCUGGAUACAGCGGCGGACGGGUGAGUAAUGCCUAGGAAUCUGCCUGGUAGUGGGGGAUAACGUCCGGAAACGGGCGCUAAUACCGCAUACGUCCUGAGGGAGAAAGUGGGGGAUCUUCGGACCUCACGCUAUCAGAUGAGCCUAGGUCGGAUUAGCUAGUUGGUGGGGUAAAGGCCUACCAAGGCGACGAUCCGUAACUGGUCUGAGAGGAUGAUCAGUCACCCUGGAAUGGAGCCCCGGUCCGGACUCCUACGGGAGGCAGCAGUGGGGAAUAUUGGACAUUGGGCGAAGUCCUGAUCCAGCCAUGCCGCGUGUGUGAAGAAGGUCUUCGGAUUGUAAAGCACUUUAAGUUGGGAGGAAGGGCAGUAAGUUAAUACCUUGCUGUUUUGACGUUACCAACAGAAUAAGCACCGGCUAACUUCGUG